AUGAGCCAGAAAUCAGCAAUAUGGAACCGUGAACUUCCAGAUGUUCAAGCUGGUUUUAGAAAAGGCAGAGGAACCAGAGAUCAAAUUGCCAACAUCGGCUGGAUCAUUGAAAAAGCAAGAGAUUUCCAGAAAAAUAUCUAUUUCUGCUUUAUUGACUAUGCCAAAGCCUUUGACUGUAUGGAUCACAAUAAACUGUGGAAAAUUCUGAGAGAGAUGGGAAUACCAGACCACCUGACCUGCCUUUUGAGAAAUCUGUAUGCAGGUCAGGAAGCAACCAUUAGAACUGGACAUGGAACAACAGACUGGUUCCAAAUAGGAAAAGAAGUAUGUCAAGGCUGGAUAUUGUCACCCUACUUAUUUAACUUAUAUGCAGAGUACAUCAUGAGAAACGCUGGGCUGGAGGAAGCACAAGCUGGAAUCAAGAUUGCCAGGAGAAAUAUCAAUAACCUCAGAUAUGCAGAUGACACCACCCUUAUGGCAGAAAGUGAAGAGGAACUAAAAAGCCUCUUGAUGAAAGUGAAAGAAGAGAGUGAAAAAGUUGGCUUAAAGCUCAACAUUCAGAAAACGAAGAUCAUGGCAUCUGGUCCCAUCACUUCAUGGGAAAUAGAUGGGGAAACAGUGGAAACAGUGUCAGACUUUAUUUUUUGGGGCUCCAAAAUCACUGCAGAUGGUGACUACAGCCAUGAAAUGAAAAGACGCUUACUCCUUGGAAGGAAAGUUAUGACCAACCUAGAUAGCAUAUUCAAAAGCAAAGACAUUACUUUGCCAACAAAGGUCUGUCUAGUCAAGGCUAUAGUUUUCCCAGUGGUCAUGUAUGGAUGCGAGAGUUGGACUGUGAAGAAAGCUGAGUGCCAAAGAAUUGCUUUUGAACUGCGGUGUUGGAGAAGACUCUUGAGAGUCCCUUGGACUGCAAGGAGAUCCAACCAGUCCUUCUUAAGGGAGAUCAGCCCUGGAUGUUCAUUGGAAGGACUGAUGCUGAAGCUGAAACUCCAAUACUUUGACUACCUCAUGCGAAGAGCUGACUCAUUGGAAAAGACUCUGAUGCUGGGAGAGAUUGAGGGCACGAGAAGGGGACGACAGCUAAUGAGAUGGCUGGAUUGCAUCACUGACUCAAUGGACAUGGGUUUGGGUGGACUCCAGGAGUUGGUGAUGGAGAGGGAGGCCUGGCGUGCUGGGGUUCACGAGGUUGCAAAGAGUCAGACACCACUGAGGGACUGA
rnacentral:lncRNA from 1 species